rnacentral:rRNA from 1 species
AUUGAACGCUGGCGGCAGGCCUAACACAUGCAAGUCGAACGGUAACAGGAAUCAGCUUGCUGAUUUGCUGACGAGUGGCGGACGGGUGAGUAAUGUCUGGGAAACUGCCUGAUGGAGGGGGAUAACUACUGGAAACGGUAGCUAAUACCGCAUAACGUCGCAAGACCAAAGAGGGGGACCUUCGGGCCUCUUGCCAUCGGAUGUGCCCAGAUGGGAUUAGCUAGUAGGUGGGGUAAACGCUCACCUAGGCGACGAUCACUAGCUGGUCUGAGAGGGUGACCAGCCACACUGGAACUGAGACACGGUCCAGACUCCUACGGGAGGCAGCAGUGGGGAAUAUUGCACACUGGGCGCAAGCCUGAUGCAGCCAUGCAGCGUGUAUGAAGAAGGCCUUCGGGUUGUAAAGUACUUUCAGCGGGGAGGAAGGGAGUAAAGUUAAUACCUUAGCUCAUUGACGUUACCCGUAGAAGAAGCACCGGCUAACUCCGUG